GAUAUAAAUCACCCUGUUGUUCAUGGACACCAUAGACACAUAGCAGUUUUUUUAAUUCCUCAGAGAAACACGGUAUAAAGUGUGUUCCUUGUCGUUUCAACACGGGACGCGUAUGUUUGCGUCCAAAUCCGUUUUUUAGCGGACGGUUGUAAACCCGAAGAGUUCGCAGAGGAAGGAGAGAGAGAUGGAAAAAGGCUGAAGAUACUGAAAAUAUAACAACCAUUCAGACAUCUGCCUUUGGUGUAACCAGCUGAGCUGUUCAGUUCUACUUUUCGUGUCAAAAGUCGAUGAUAGUAAACAUCAAUUUCCUGAACAGGUGAGUUUUCUGCUUUUCUUUCCUUCAAACUGAACACUUUCUGACUCAAUAACGCUCAUUAGCAGAGAGUAAACUUGUAAUUGUCUUUUAUUCUAGGUUUGAACCAUGUUUGUAAUGUUUAACGAAACCCCCAAAACAGGCCAGCCCAGAGUGCAGAGAGGGGAGUGUCUUACUGUCUCAAUUCCAGUGAAACGAAACUUAACUCUAUUUCUAAAGAAACCACUUCAGGACUUAAACUGACAGAACAACAAAAACUUAACAUACUAUAAAUCAGUGAUGGCCAAAUGAAGCUUUCUGAAAUAAUAAGUCUUUCCAGCCCAUCGCUUUGCCCCAAGGUUCAUUCAGAGCUCACUAGCCCCAUCUAUUGCCAGAGUUAAACUGUGACAGCCAAGUCAUUCAGAUAGAUUUCAAAUGUUUUCACAGUGCAGAUUAAGCGGUGAUAGAAAAUGAAUAUUAUUGAAAUAUAGAAUAGUGUUUAAUCCGUGUACAAUAACAACAAAGUCUUUAGUGUUUGAUAUAACUUUGCUCUUUCUUUUUAUUCCUAAUAAAUAUUUUCUAUCUGUUUGAUUGUUAUUUUGGUUUGUGUUUUUCAUGGCUAUCAGUAUUCAUUAUUUAAUUAGUGCUUGGGUGACAGUACAGUUUGUUGGGAGGGAGCAGGGAGUGGAGGGGGUAAUCAUUUUUUUUCUCUGUAUUGAUUGCCCCAUUAAACUACUCAUACUACUUCUACUAGUAAUUCUACUAGUACUUUUACUGCAACUAACUAACCCUAUGCUUUCAACAACUACCACUGCUGAUUAUAAUCCAGACUCUGCUACGAACGCGCAAACCAAACUACCACCUUAUACAACCCACAGAGCACUGUGUUUUUGUCAUGCUUUUAUUUUGAUAAACAAGACGCAAAAUGAACUAGUCACGUAACCUGUGUAAUACAAGGCCUCAUUUGUAAUUGGUCACGUGGUUUUCAGCAAACCGAUGCAAGCCUCGAUGUGGGGCUUUGACAGACACGCCCCCUUCAUAUUCGGUACACGCCUUGAAGCCACGGCUUCAAACAUUCCAUCACUACUAUAAAUCACCUGUAAUCAGAGGGAAUCAACAGGUAAGAAGAAAACUAAAGAGUAUCUCGUUCAGUGUCAUAUCACAAACUUGUUCUUCUAUCUGGGUUUGUGAGGUAAGAUUUUAUCUUCUCAACUGUUGGUCUCUAACAGUUUAAAACUUUCUUAGUAAAACACGAUAAUUCAACAUAUUUUGGUCUCUGAAUGAAUUACAGUCACACAAAGUUUGGAUGGGCGACAGUAAACUGCUGACGCCAACAGCUGUUCAACGGUCAUGUGUCUGAGUCAUACUGUGUUUAUAUUUGUGUCUCUUACAAGCUCAGGUUUGUUCAAACACUCACCUUUAUCAUCUAAUGAUGAGAAAACUUCCAGGACUGUGCUGCAUUGUUUUUUUCAGUGUAGUUUUGUUGAUUUCUUCUUCAUGCCUUCUUUAAUGCUUCGUUCCUAGAUAUGGCGUCAGCAAUCAGUCUCCUCUCUGAAGACCAGUUCCUGUGCUCCAUCUGUCUGGAUGUCUUCACUGAUCCCGUCACCAUACCAUGUGGACACAACUUCUGUAAGUCCUGCAUCACUGAGCACUGGGACACCAAUGACCAGCAUCAGUGUCCCCUGUGCAAAGAGCAGUAUGAGAAACUACCACACCUGCGGGUCAACACCUUCAUAUCUGAGAUGGCUGCUCAGUUCAAGCAGUCAGUUUCAAGAGAAACCAUCACCUCCACCAUCAGGAGUAGCUCAGAAGAACAACACACCGACCCAGGAGAAGUUCUCUGUGAUUUCUGCACUGACACUAAACUGAGGGCCCUGAAGUCCUGCCUGGAUUGUCUGGUCUCCUACUGUGAGGCUCACCUGGAGCCUCAUCAGAGAAUCUCAGCCCUGAAAAGACACAAGCUGAUCAACCCUGUGAAGAACCUGGAGAGCAGGGUGUGUAAGAAGCACAAUAGACCUCUGGAACAGUUCUGUAAAACAGACAAAAUCUGCUUGUGUCGGUUCUGUUCAGAGUCAAAACACAAGCUCCAUCAAAUCGUUUCCCUCAAAGAAGGAUAUGAAGAGAGAAAAGCAGAGCUUGGAAAGACAGAGGCUGAAGUUCAGAGGAUGAUCCAGGAUAGGGAACUGAAGAUUAAGCAGAUCAAACAGUCUGUGACACUUAGCAGAGAAGAUGCAGACAGAGAGACAGCAAAAAGUGUGGAGGUCCUCACAGCUCUGCUCCGUUCUAUUGAGAGAAGAAUGGCUCAGGUCAUCGACAUGAUCCGUAAGAAGCACAAACAAACAGAGGAACUGGCUGAAGGUCUCAUCAAAGAGCUGGAGGAGGAAAUCUCUGAGCUGAUGAAGAGAAGCGCUGAGCUGGAGCAGCUCUCAUGCAAUGAGGACCACCUCCACUUCCUCCAAAACAACUUGUCUCUGAAAGCUCCUUCACUCUCUAAAGACUGGACGAAGGUCAAAAUUCACUCUUCAUAUGAUGGGAUCUUGAAGACCAAUCUGGUUGAGCUGAGAGAGACACUUGGCAAAGAUACAAAGACUCCUUGUGCUGAUGGCCAGUUAAAGAAGUAUAGGCAGUACUCGGUGGAUGUGACUCUUGAUCCUGAAACAGCUCAUCCUAAACUCAUCCUGUCUGCUGAUGGGAAGCAAGUUUAUCACGGGAAUACGAGUCAAAAAAUCAAAGACAGCCCAAAGAGAAUAUCCUCGUAUUUUGGUGUGUUGGGAAAUGAGGGUUUCUCCUCAGGGAAGUUUUACUAUGAGGUUCAAGUUGAGGGGAAGACCAGCUGGGUUUUAGGAGUAGCUAGAGAGUCUAUCCACAGGAAGGAUGUUCGUCUCUUUCACCCUGAGAACGGUUUCUGGACUGUAUGCUUGAAGGAUGACGAGUACAAUGCUCUUGUUGACACUAAACCACUUCAGCUGAGUCUGAAGUCAAAGCCUCAAAAGGUGGGGGUGUUCGUGGAUUAUGAGAGGGGUCUGGUCUAUUUUUAUGACGCAGAUGCUUCAACUCUAAUCUAUGCUUUUACUGGCUGUAACUUCACUGAGAAACUUUACCCGAUUUUCAAUCCCAGACACAGAAGUGGUGCAAACUCCAGCCCUCUGAUCAUCUGUCCAGUUGAUAACUCUGAUUAGACAAUGUGUACCUCAGAACCAGUGGCGAGUGGUGACCUUUGACUGUGGUCAUGCUUAGGUGUCAAUCCCAUGCAGGCGCCCACAAGGGUACAAGCGAGAACAUUUUGGGGUAUUUAUUAAUUAAUUGAAACACAUAUGUUUUUUAACAACUACAUCAACUAAAUUUUGAUAGACACUCUCACACUCACACUUACCCCAAGUUACCAACAACAAUGUGUUGGAAUUUACAGUGUAUAGAAAGGCUAAAUGAAAGCAGAAACACUCAGGACUGACACAGGUUGAUACACACAGUAAUGUAACCAGCUCUGUGGUUAGUCAAAUGACACAACCACAUGCCUACAGAGCUAUAAUUCAAACAAGUCAGUUAUUCACGUGCACGUUGGCAGAUUAGCUGCUUUACUGACAGCUUUUUUUGCCGUUCAAAAUGCUCAUCUACAGUAAAUACAGCCUCUAAGCACUAACUGUACUACUUGGUAUCACAGUGCACAUGCGCAAAACUAGCUAUCAGCUUUCCAGUUUUUCACGAGCCAAACAAGACAGAUUAGGCAGGGAUCUAAGACGAAAACAGUACUAAGGUGGUAUUGUAUAAUUGAACACACUGACAGAUAAGUAUUUUCAAUGGUUUUUAUUGAAGGGCGUAGGCAUGCGCUGCAUCUAUAGUUUAUUAUGACCGCUCGCCCAUGCUCAGAACCCAUCAGCUCCUGGGCAAAGCCUCUGGUAGUGGUGGUAUCAAUUAACAUAGUUAUUUUGUGGUUUUUGUUGUAUUUUAUUUUUUAUUUUGUUUCAUAGGGAUGGUAGUAAUCUACUAUUAAUGUUAAGAAGUAAAAGGAGUGCUACAGGGCGCAUUCUUGGGAUCACGCUAAUUGAUAAUCUAGAUCAACAGUAACGGUCAGACUAUUCCUAAAGCAAAUUUACAUUUAUAUUCAGAUGAUACUGUUGUUUACUGCUCUGCUCCAACACUGCAUCAGGUUUGAGAUUAUAGACAAAAUGCUUUUGAUGCAGCUCAGCAAACUUUUCAUGAGUUGAAAUUGAUCUAAAAUCCUGAUCAAACUAAACUCAUGAUGUUUUCAAACUCAAAAAAAAGCAGCUGAUUUUGCUGUCUAUCACUAUGAUUUAAGAAGACGUGAGAAGAACUUAGAGAACUUGAGGAAGCUAGGUCCCCCAGACUGUGUUUAGAAGCAGAUUGACGGUGUUAAAGGGAGACACAUCAGGCUGUAAAUGUUUUGAAUAAUGACUUUCAGCUGUAUCAUUGAGGAAAUGUUGACGUUUUGUAUUAUGUGAUUGAAUGUAACUUUGUUGUAAAAAAAAAAGAUUUUUAAUCUCAGUGCGGCUCUCCUGGUUAAAUAAAAUUAAAUAAAUGAAUAAAAUAAUUA